GACGAACGCUGGCGGCGUGCUUAACACAUGCAAGUCGAACGGAAAGGCCCUGCUUUUGUGGGGUGCUCGAGUGGCGAACGGGUGAGUAACACGUGAGUAACCUGCCCUUGACUUUGGGAUAACUUCAGGAAACUGGGGCUAAUACCGGAUAUGAGCUCCUGCUGCAUGGUGUGGGUUGGAAAGUUUCGGCGGUUGGGGAUGGACUCGCGGCUUAUCAGCUUGUUGGUGGGGUAGUGGCUUACCAAGGCUUUGACGGGUAGCCGGCCUGAGAGGGUGACCGGCCACAUUGGGACUGAGAUACGGCCCAGACUCCUACGGGAGGCAGCAGUGGGGAAUAUUGCACAAUGGGCGGAAGCCUGAUGCAGCAACGCCGCGUGCGGGAUGACGGCCUUCGGGUUGUAAACCGCUUUCGACUGUGACGAAGCGUGAGUGACGGUAAUGGGUAAAGAAGCACCGGCUAACUACGUG
rnacentral:rRNA from 1 species